rnacentral:rRNA from 1 species
AACGCGAAGAACCUUACCUGGUCUUGACAUCCACAGAACUUUCCAGAGAUGGAUAGGUGCCUUCGGGAACUCUGAGACAGGUGCUGCAUGGCUGUCGUCAGCUCGUGUUGUGAAAUGUUGGGUUAAGUCCCGCAACGAGCGCAACCCUUAUCCUUUGUUGCCAGCGGUCCGGCCGGGAACUCAAAGGAGACUGCCAGUGAUAAACUGGAGGAAGGUGGGGAUGACGUCAAGUCAUCAUGGCCCUUACGACCAGGGCUACACACGUGCUACAAUGGCAUAUACAAAGAGAAGCGACCUCGCGAGAGCAAGCGGACCUCAUAAAGUAUGUCGUAGUCCGGAUUGGAGUCUGCAACUCGACUCCAUGAAGUCGGAAUCGCUAGUAAUCGUGGAUCAGAAUGCCACGGUGAAUACGUUCCCGGGUCUUGUACACACCG